GUGGGGAAUUUUGGACAAUGGGGGCAACCCUGAUCCAGCCAUGCCGCGUGCGGGAAGAAGGCCUUCGGGUUGUAAACCGCUUUUGUCAGGGAAGAAAUCCUUUGGGUUAAUACCUCGGAGGGAUGACGGUACCUGAAGAAUAAGCACCGGCUAACUACGUGCCAGCAGCCGCGGUAAUCCGUAGGGUGCGAGCGUUAAUCGGAAUUACUGGGCGUAAAGCGUGCGCAGGCGGUUUUGUAAGAUCGAUGUGAAAUCCCCGGGCUCAACCUGGGAACUGCAUUGGUGACUGCAAGGCUGGAGUGCGGCAGAGGGGGAUGGAAUUCCGCGUGUAGCAGUGAAAUGCGUAGAUAUGCGGAGGAACACCGAUGGCGAAGGCAAUCCCCUGGGCCUGCACUGACGCUCAUGCACGAAAGCGUGGGGAGCGAACAGGAUUAGAAACCCGGGUAGUCC
rnacentral:rRNA from 1 species